GGAGGAAGUAGGGGAUCGCAAGACCUUGCGCUUUUGGAGCGGCCGAUGUCUGAUUAGCUUGUUGGUAAGGUAAAAGCUUACCAAGGCUUCGAUCAGUAGCUGGUCUGAGAGGACGACCAGCCACACUGGGACUGAGACACGGCCCAGACUCCUACGGGAGGCAGCAGUGGGGAAUUUUGGACAAUGGGGGCAACCCUGAUCCAGCCAUGCCGCGUGAGUGAAGAAGGCCUUCGGGUUGUAAAGCUCUUUCAGCCGGAACGAAGCGGUUACGGUUAAUACCCGUGACUACUGACAGUACCGGAAGAAGAAGCACCGGCUAACUACGUGCCAGCAGCCGCGGUAAUACGUAGGGUGCGAGCGUUAAUCGGAAUUACUGGGCGUAAAGCGUGCGCAGGUGGUUUUGUAAGUCAGAUGUGAAAUCCCCGGGCUCAACCUGGGAACUGCGUUUGAAACUACAAAGCUAG
rnacentral:rRNA from 1 species